GUCGAACGGCAGCAUGAUCUAGCUUGCUAGAUUGAUGGCGAGUGGCGAACGGGUGAGUAAUACAUCGGAACGUGCCCUGUAGUGGGGGAUAACUAGUCGAAAGAUUAGCUAAUACCGCAUACGACCUGAGGGUGAAAGUGGGGGACCGCAAGGCCUCAUGCUAUAGGAGCGGCCGAUGUCUGAUUAGCUAGUUGGUGGGGUAAAGGCCCACCAAGGCGACGAUCAGUAGCUGGUCUGAGAGGACGAUCAGCCACACUGGGACUGAGACACGGCCCAGACUCCUACGGGAGGCAGCAGUGGGGAAUUUUGGACAAUGGGCGAAAGCCUGAUCCAGCAAUGCCGCGUGUGUGAAGAAGGCCUUCGGGUUGUAAAGCACUUUUGUCCGGAAAGAAAUGGCUCUGGUUAAUACCUGGGGUCGAUGACGGUACCGGAAGAAUAAGGACCGGCUAACUACGUGCCAGCAGCCGCGGUAAUACGUAGGGUCCAAGCGUUAAUCGGAAUUACUGGGCGUAAAGCGUGCGCAGGCGGUUGUGCAAGACCGAUGUGAAAUCCCCGAGCUUAACUUGGGAAUUGCAUUGGUGACUGCACGGCUAGAGUGUGUCAGAGGGGGGUAGAAUUCCACGUGUAGCAGUGAAAUGCGUAGAGAUGUGGUGGAAUACCGAUGGCGAAGGCAGCCCCCUGGGAUAACACUGACGCUCAUGCACGAAAGCGUGGGGAGCAAACAGGAUUAGAUACCCUGGUAGUCCACGCCCUAAACGAUGUCAACU
rnacentral:rRNA from 1 species